CACCGCGGUUAUACGAGAGGCCCAAGUUGAUAGCCACCGGCGUAAAGCGUGGUUAAGUUAAAACUCAUACUAAAAUCAAACAUCUUCAAGACUGUUAUACGUAACCGAAGAUAGGAAGUCCAACCACGAAAGUGAUUUUACUUGAUCUGAACCCACGAAAGCUAAGGAA
rnacentral:rRNA from 1 species